CCUACGGGCGGCAGCAGUGAGGAAUAUUGGUCAAUGGUCGGGAGACUGAACCAGCCAAGCCGCGUGAGGGAGGAAGGUUCAGAGUAUCGUAAACUUCUUUUGUCAGGGAACAAACGCAGGGACGUGUCCCCGGCUGAGAGUAUCUGAAGAAAAAGGCUCGGCUAACUCCGUGCCAGCAGCCGCGGUAAUACGGAGGAUUCCAGCGUUAUCCGGGUUUAUUGGGUUUAAAGGGUGCGGAGGCGGGUGGUUAAGUUAGAGGUCAAAACCCGGGGCUCAACUACGGAACGGCCGUGGAGACUGGCAGGCUCGAGAGUGAGAGAGGUAUGCGGAAUGCGCGGUGUAGCGGUGAAAUGCAUAGAGAUCGCGCAGAACACCGAUUGCGAAGGCAGCAUACC
rnacentral:rRNA from 1 species